CCUACGGGUGGCAGCAGUGGGGAAUAUUGGACAAUGGGGGCAACCCUGAUCCAGCCAUGCCGCGUGUGUGAAGAGGGCCCUCGGGUUGUAAAGCACUUUCAGUGAGGAAGAACGCCUGGUGGUUAAUACCCAUCAGGAAAGACAUCACUCACAGAAGAAGCACCGGCUAACUCCGUGCCAGCAGCCGCGGUAAUACGGAGGGUGCGAGCGUUAAUCGGAAUUACUGGGCGUAAAGCGCGCGUAGGUGGCUUGAUAAGCCGGUUGUGAAAGCCCCGGGCUCAACCUGGGAACGGCAUCCGGAACUGUCAAGCUAGAGUGCAGGAGAGGAAGGUAGAAUUCCCGGUGUAGCGGUGAAAUGCGUAGAGAUCGGGAGGAAUACCAGUGGCGAAGGCGGCCUUCUGGACUGACACUGACACUGAGGUGCGAAAGCGUGGGUAGCAAACAGGAUUAGAUACCCUGGUAGUC
rnacentral:rRNA from 1 species